rnacentral:rRNA from 1 species
AGAGUUUGAUCAUGGCUCAGAUUGAACGCUGGCGGCAGGCCUAACACAUGCAAGUCGAACGGUAACAGGAAGCAGCUUGCUGCUUCGCUGACGAGUGGCGGACGGGUGAGUAAUGUCUGGGAAACUGCCUGAUGGAGGGGGAUAACUACUGGAAACGGUAGCUAAUACCGCAUAAUGUCGCAAGACCAAAGAGGGGGACCUUCGGGCCUCUUGCCAUCGGAUGUGCCCAGAUGGGAUUAGCUUGUUGGUGGGGUAACGGCUCACCAAGGCGACGAUCCCUAGCUGGUCUGAGAGGAUGACCAGCCACACUGGAACUGAGACACGGUCCAGACUCCUACGGGAGGCAGCAGUGGGGAAUAUUGCACAAUGGGCGCAAGCCUGAUGCAGCCAUGCCGCGUGUAUGAAGAAGGCCUUCGGGUUGUAAAGUACUUUCAGCGGGGAGGAAGGGAGUAAAGUUAAUACCUUUGCAUUGACGUUACCCGCAGAAGAAGCACCGGCUAACUCCGUGCCAGCAGCCGCGGUAAUACGGAGGGUGCAAGCGUUAAUCGGAAUUACUGGGCGUAAAGCGCACGCAGGCGGUUUGUUAAGUCAGAUGUGAAAUCCCCGGGCUCAACCUGGGAACUGCAUCUGAUACUGGCAAGCUUGAGUCUCGUAGAGGGGGUAGAAUUCCAGGUGUAGCGGUGAAAUGCGUAGAGAUCUGGAGGAAUACCGGUGGCGAAGGCGGCCCCCUGGACGAAGACUGACGCUCAGGUGCGAAAGCGUGGGGAGCAAACAGGAUUAGAUACCCUGGUAGUCCACGCCGUAAACGAUGUCGACUUGGAGGUUGUGCCCUUGAGGCGUGGCUUCCGGAGCUAACGCGUUAAGUCGACCGCCUGGGGAGUACGGCCGCAAGGUUAAAACUCAAAUGAAUUGACGGGGCCCGCACAAGCGGUGGAGCAUGUGGUUUAAUUCGAUGCAACGCGAAGAACCUUACCUGGUCUUGACAUCCACGGAAGUUUUCAGAGAUGAGAAUGUGCCUUCGGGAACCGUGAGACAGGUGCUGCAUGGCUGUCGUCAGCUCGUGUUGUGAAAUGUUGGGUUAAGUCCCGCAACGAGCGCAACCCUUAUCCUUUGUUGCCAGCGGUCCGGCCGGGAACUCAAAGGAGACUGCCAGUGAUAAACUGGAGGAAGGUGGGGACGACGUCAAGUCAUCAUGGCCCUUACGACCAGGGCUACACACGUGCUACAAUGGCGCAUACAAAGAGAAGCGACCUCGCGAGAGCAAGCGGACCUCAUAAAGUGCGUCGUAGUCCGGAUUGGAGUCUGCAACUCGACUCCAUGAAGUCGGAAUCGCUAGUAAUCGUGGAUCAGAAUGCCACGGUGAAUACGUUCCCGGCCUUGUGUCACACCGCAGGUCGCUUCUCUUUGUAUGCGCCAUUGUAGCACGUGUGUAGCCCUGUCGUAAGGGCCAUGAUGACUUGACGUCGUCCCCACCUUCCUCCAGUUUAUCACUGGCAGUCUCCUUU